rnacentral:rRNA from 1 species
UACGUAGGGUGCAAGCGUUAUCCGGAAUUAUUGGGCGUAAAGAGCUCGUAGGCGGUUUGUCGCGUCUGCUGUGAAAACUGGAGGCUCAACCUCCAGCCUGCAGUGGGUACGGGCAGACUAGAGUGCGGUAGGGGAGAUUGGAAUUCCUGGUGUAGCGGUGGAAUGCGCAGAUAUCAGGAGAAACACCGAUGGCGAAGGCAGAUCUCUGGGCCGUAACUGACGCUGAGGAGCGAAAGCAUGGGGAGCGAACAGG